AUUCUGAAAGAGGAACUCUUACGAUGCAGACGUAGAGACACCAUUUGAAGCUGUCCUAAAGUCCUGUCUGGUCCCUGGCCUGAGGUCAGAAGUCUGUCAGGGAGUCGAACAAACCCUGAUUGGAGGAUGGGCUGACAACCAAGUGAAAGAAAUCUUGAAACAUGCAUGUCAUGCUGAAGGAAAGGAGGUGAGGAAAGCCACCAA